rnacentral:rRNA from 1 species
GCUCAGUAACACGUGGACAACGUGCCCUAAAGUGGAGCAUAAUCUCGGGAAACUGAGGAUAAUUCUCCAUAGACCAUGAGAUCUGGAACGACUUAUGGUUCAAAGUUCCGGCGCUUUAGGAUCGGUCUGCGGCCUAUCAGGUAGUAGUGGGUGUAACGUACCCCCUAGCCAAUUACGGGUAUGGGCCUUGAGAGAGGGAGCCCAGAGUUGGAUUCUGAGACACGAAUCCAGGCCCUACGGGGCGCAGCAGUCGCGAAAACUUCACAAUGGGCGAAAGCCCGAUGAGGGAAUUCCUAGUGCUAGCACAUUUGUGUUAGCUUUUCCUUAGCGUAGAUAACUAGGGGAAUAAGGGCUGGGUAAGACGGGUGCCAGCCGCCGCGGUAAUACCCGCAGCCCGAGUGGUGGUCGAUUUUAUUGAGUCUAAAACGUUCGUAGCCGGUCUGAUAAAUCCUUGGGUAAAUCGGGAAGCUUAACUUUCCGAAUUCCGAGGAGACUGUCAGGCUUGGGAUCGGGAGAGGUAUGAGGUACUUCAGGGGUAGGGGUAAAAUCCUGUAAUCCUUGGAGGACCACCGGUGGCGAAGGCGUCAUACUAGAACGAAUCCGACGGUGAGGGACGAAGCCCUAGGUCGCAAACGGGAUUAGAUACCCCGGUAGUCUAGGGUGUAAACGCUGCAGACUUGGUGUUGGGGGCCCUUCGGGGGCAUUCAGUGCCGGAGAGAAGUUGUUAAGUCUGCUACUUGGGGAGUACGUCCGCAAGGAUGAAACUUAAAGGAAUUGGCGGGGGAGCACAAUCGCCUGGUCCCUUGUUC